rnacentral:rRNA from 1 species
CCCUUAGAUGUUCUGGGCCGCACGCGUGCUACACUGAGUGGAUCAGCGGGUCAGGUUGCGCGAAAGUGUUUCCUAAUCUUGAAAUCCGCUCGUGAUGGGGAUUGACGGUUGCAAUUUUCCGUCAUGAACGAGGAAUACCUUGUAAGCGCGGGUCAUCAUCCCGCGCUGAAUACGUCCCUGCCCUUUGUACACACCGCCCGUCGCUCCUACCGAUUGAGUGGUCCGGUGAGGCUUUGGGAUUUGAGCGGAAAGAGCGUUUCGCUGUUUCUGCUCGGAAAACUCAGUCGAACCUUAUCAUUUAGAGGAAGGAGAAGUCGUAACA